UCAAUUCGGUUUUCAAAAAAUAUCAUCAACACCACCCCUAACCCUAAUUGAAUCACACACAUAGUUACUUAUCAGCCACCAUCGGAGGAAAUAUGCACUUUCUCUUUUGAGAACUGUUUUUUUAUAUGCCAGAAGAGAUGAAGUAUUAAUAUGUGUAUCAUAAGUAUCAGAAUUUAUGUGAAUGUUUUGGCUUUAGUUGAUCUGUUUUCUAUUUUACUUAAUUAUUUAACUGUUCUCAUUGAAUUUAUGUGAAUGUUUUGGAUUUAGUUGAUCUGAUUAGUUUUCUAUUUCAGAACUGUUUUUUUUUAUAUGCCAGAAGAGAUGAAGUAUUAAUUGGUAUGACCAUGUGAUUUUCCGUCUUAUAUAUCCCUUGUCACUUGUGAGUACUCCUUGUCAACAAUUACUGUCAAGAAACAAAAACUUUGUUACACUGACAUUGUAAUUUGAAACCUGAAAACCUCUGUUUUGUUCUGUGGUGUCUGUUUGGUAUAUCUGUAGCUAGUUACUCUUUGGUAUAUCACCAAAAACCUUGUAAACCCUUGUUUUGUAGAUUCACUUCAGUAUGUUCCAUCUAUGCACAAAUGAUGGAUCCAAUGGUGACUCUAUUCGGAAGUGUUCACGAGAAACAGAACGAAACCGGAAGCAUGAUCUUCCCAAAUUUCGGAAGCAUGUUUCAUGGCGAUCAGCAUAAACCCGGAUGUAGAGAGUAAUCACGAAAAUGGGAACUUAUCCGUGGACGAAACUAAUGAUAAUGUAAAAACCCCGUUGCUAUCGCUUAAUUCAACUAGUGUAGAUAAAGACAUGAUUGCUCCGGUUUCUAGGAGUAUGUUAAACACAGAUCAGCCUAGCGAGUCGAAUAGUGUGAUAGGGAUUGGUGGUGGGUGGCAGUUGGCGUAUACAAAGACCGAAGUCGGGAAGAAAGCGGGCGGGUUGCAGCGGAUUUACUUGCACCAGGAGGGUGGUGCAGAAUCCAGACGCGGGUCCAUUGCUUCACUCCCGGUUGCGGAUGAUGGUGACGGGGUUCGGGCCUCGGCUCUUGUUAGUAGAUCAGUUCUUUGUUUAGAUGAUACGAUGGGUCAGAACCCGAUUCAGUCGGGUCUGAUCAAACCACAACAGUCUACUAAAGAUGUGACAAGUUGGGCUGAUCUUUCCAAGCUGGUAUUAAACAAGCAUUGAUUGUUGGUGUUGGGAUUCAAAUACUACAACAGGUUUACGGUCACAUUUACAUGCUACUAAGCUGUUUCAGCUAAAUAUUCUUCAUUUGACAGCGUUUUCAAUCGGAUUCAACUAUCGCUAAGCUGUUUUAUCGUUCGGAUUGGGCAUCCUACUAUUUUGGCUAUGCGUUAUUCGAUUUGUGUUUAUGUAUGAACUUGGCGUCGCUGCAAGCGAUGAGAUGAUUUUUCCUUUUAUUUCACAUGUAGCUCUAGUGUUUGGUUUCCUGUCAACAUUAUUUGGUAUCGGUG